rnacentral:tRNA from 1 species
GGCCCAGAGGCCUAAUGGACUAGGCACCAGCCUCUGGAGCUAGUGGUUGUGGGUUUAAGUCUCACCUGGGACU